AUGGGGAAAAUUUCAUUUCAACUUAUUUUGAUGGUUUCGUUGGUUCUGGGGCUUCUUUUCGGUCAGUCAACUGCAUUGCCCAGUGAAAUAUGCACCAAGGAAUGCCAGAAAAGAUGUUUGUCACAUAGUAGCCAAAAUACUGAAACGUGCACUGAAGUUAGAAAGUAUCAGCGUCAAACAAAGAACCAUAUACUUCUGUGAACUCGGUUGUGUUUAUUCCUUGUGCUUCAUCCUUAGAACCCAAGAGAAUCCUGGUAAUUGAUGUUAGGUUUUGUUUUAGUUUUUCAGGUGAUGAUGCGAAACUGAAAAGCUGUACGAAUUAUUACUCAAAGACAUGCACCAAAAAUUAAUCAUAAGGCUUGAUGUUUUUGUCACUGUUAUGGAGAAGAAAUGAAUGAGAAACCUUAUUUAACUUCUGUUUGCCAUACAAAAAUUGUGCAUGUUGAUACUGAAUGGAAAAUUUAUUACUCGUUUGAAACCAAGAGCAGGAUUCCUAAUUUUCACCGUUCAUAAUCCCACAUGAAUUAGAAGAUAAGACUCUGGACCAGAACUAGAUAUAUAAAAUGCAGUAACCGCAGGCGUUUUGUAUGGAUCCGUACGGUGAGCACAAAGCGAACUAUUCUUUCGCCUUUUACUAAAGAAUACCGUGUGCUCGCCAUUUACAGCGGCGUACAACUAUUUUUGGAGGGGCUGUACUCUCUCGAGUGCGGUUCCUUAUCAAGUCCAGCCCAUCAAUAUUACACAUUAUAAUUGUAUUAAUCCCGGCAAAUUUAGUGUAGUUUGUAAAUAUUUUAGUAGUGUAGUUUUCCAUCAUAUUAGACCAAAUCUAAGUUUAGUUUGUUAAUGUUUUGAAUGCAAACCUUUCUGGUGAAAACCGCAGUUCUAGCAUAAGUCUGAAUGUAAUACAGCCUUGAUUUGAUAGCAAGUUUGAAUUGUUGAAUUUGCGUUGGCUUUAAA